ACCUACGGGGGGCAGCAGUGGGGAAUAUUGGGCAAUGGGCGCAAGCCUGACCCAGCAACGCCCCGUGAAGGAAGAAGGCCCUCGGGUUGUAAACUUCUUUUAUCAAGGACGAAACAAAUGACGGUACUUGAUGAAUAAGCCACGGCUAACUACGUGCCAGCAGCCGCGGUAAUACGUAGGUGGCAAGCGUUAUCCGGAUUUACUGGGUGUAAAGGGCGUGUAGGCGGGACUGCAAGUCAGAUGUGAAAACCACGGGCUCAACCUGUGGCCUGCAUUUGAAACUGUAGAUCUUGAGUACUGGAGAG
rnacentral:rRNA from 1 species